UACGAAGGGGGCUAGCGUUGUUCGGAAUCACUGGGCGUAAAGAGCGCGCAGGCGGUCGUUCAAGUCGCGUGUGAAAGCCCCCGGCUCAACUGGGGAGGGUCACGCGAUACUGAUCGACUCGAAGGCAGGAGAGGGUAGUGGAAUUCCCGGUGUAGUGGUGAAAUGCGUAGAUAUCUGGAGGAAUACCGGUGGCGAAGGCGGCAUCCUGGACCGGCAUUGACGCUGAGGAGCGAAAGCCAGGGGAGCAAACGGG
rnacentral:rRNA from 1 species